GACGAACGCUGGCGGCGUGCUUAACACAUGCAAGUCGAACGGAAAGGCCCUGCUUUUGUGGGGUGCUCGAGUGGCGAACGGGUGAGUAACACGUGAGUAACCUGCCCUUGACUUUGGGAUAACUUCAGGAAACUGGGGCUAAUACCGGAUAGGAGCUCCUGCUGCAUGGUGGGGGUUGGAAAGUUUCGGCGGUUGGGGAUGGACUCGCGGCUUAUCAGCUUGUUGGUGGGGUAGUGGCUUACCAAGGCUUUGACGGGUAGCCGGCCUGAGAGGGUGACCGGCUAAGUGGAGACCGCGAGACGACAGAGCCGCAGAGGGGGGGAACAGGUGGGGAAGAGAGGGCAGGGGGGGAGAGCCUGCUGCGGCGUGGGGGGGUGCGGGCUGGCGGUAUGCGUGUGAUAACCCGCUGGCGCCGGUGGGAAUGGGUGGGGGACGGGGAGGAGUAGAGAAGCACCGGCUAAAUACAGGCAGGAAGGGGCGGAAUAAGACGGGAAGAGCUUUUGACC
rnacentral:rRNA from 1 species